CGGCUACGUACAGGGCGACGUGCCGGCCCCGAAAGUUUAUUUUUAGGCCCUGGGAGAGUUGGCGGCGGAGGUCCCGUGCAGCGGAGCGGCCCGCAGACGUGGCAGCGCGGCGCGGCUGGCGCAUCUUCCGCAGCCACUUCCUUGAACCGCCACCUUCCAAAUGAGGAGCAAGAUGGGGUGAGAACAAGGAGUGCCUUGGAGAAAUCCAGUCCUAAAGUUUGAGGAGUGGAAUUAAUAGGAAACAUCAAUAACUCUGGUCUCUUAAAUAGGUCAGAACAUUGGCUUAAAAUUAGGAAAAGUUAUAAACGUGGCCUUACUACAUUUGAACCUAGGUUGUGGAUUUUUUAAUUUAAUAAAUAAUAAAAAUAUUAGCAUGUCUUUUCCUCCAUGCCGGAUGACAUUACAUUCUGCUGCUUUUAGCUGUGCACAGCUCUCCCUUAUAGACUACUUUAACUUUGAUUUAUUGCUGGUUAGCCCCGAGACCCCUCCUCAUGCGAGGGUGGGCUGUGAAUCAGCAACGUUGGCUGUUCCCCUCUGUCUGCCCUUCCAUAAUCAAUACUGGAUCCCUGUGUUACCAGACUGCCCAGCAGCACAAGGGCGAGUUGGGUGAAGAGCACGUGUGUAUGACCGUAUUACUGCCAAACGGUCUAAAGCACAUAGUAUAGGGCUUAUCUAGGCUUGAGGCUUUUAUAUUGGCCUUUUUAUGGCUGAGUGGUAGAGGUGAUACCUGGCGUAAGACUUGCCUUCGUAGAGAUGGAGCAUCACGAUUUUGAGAACAAAUCCAGACCAGUUGCAUAGUCAUCAUACUUUGCCAAAAUGGCCAUGGCGCUUUGAUGUAGGACUAGGAGCCCUACAUCCAAUUUCCCCCAGGAAAGCACGCCGAACAACCAGUGAGUGCCAAGCAGUUGGGAGUACGGCAGGGGAAGGGACUGGGGGGUUGUCUGUGCCCGAGGAUUUCGGAGUAUGUUCCCCAAGUAGGCUCAGCCCUUAGGUGGCUUUAAAAAAAGUGGCUUAGCUAAAUCAGAGCAAACUGCUGCGUCUGUUCUUAUUUUAAAUAAAUAUUAAACAAUAUUAAAUAAAUAUUAAAUAAAUAUAGCACAUUUUCAAUCCAUUAAAAAUACAUGUAAAUUAAAUUGAAAUAAACUACAGAGUCUAAUCAGAAGAAAGCUGGUUGUACAAAAAGUCUCACCUCCUGACUUCAGUGAGUUCAUUUAUAAAGUGUAUGGCCAAGCUCUCACUCACACACUGCCAUUUCACUCUAUAACACUCACAGUGCAGGCAGGAAGAGAAGCACUCAUCAAGCGGGUUUACAUGAGAAGCAAAACACACACAGGAACUUUAAAGUAUACAGGGCAUAUCAUGAUUUUUUUUUUUUUUUUUUUUUUUUUUUUGCUGCCAUACGUUCCCUAUCAGAUCAAAUCAUUUAGUAGUAGUGAGGAAAGUUAGAAGUCCAUUUCAAGUCAGCUUUUCCUCUGUUGCUCCUACACUCUGGUCAAUCACUUGUAAUGUAAAAGCUAGGUGGUGUUAUUCACAGGGAUUGUGAAAACAAAACACCUAACAACUGGAAAGAAAAUGGUGGCUUGGGGGGUUUUUGUGUUUUUCUUCCUUUCCUGUUUUACACAAAUGGCAACAGCAGUUGCAGGCCACCUGCCUUUCUGCAGCAGCACGAGCAGAGCUCCUGGGGCAGAGCGCCAUUGCUGCGGGAAGCCUGCAUGGAGCUAAAGCCGCCGGCGGUCGCGCCUUUCGCCAUCACGCAGUGCUCUGCGCUGGAGCAAUGCUCGGAGCACAGGGCUCCCCGCGCUCUGCAAGCAGGUGUGAGCUCUGCUAGCAAAGAAGUCAAUUGCGUGUGUUUAGUGCGGGCGGGCCAUUUGAAAGCAUGCAGCUCUUUCUACUGCAAACUGGUCUUUCAUUCAAAUUGCAUAAAUCAGCCUGCGCUGCAACUUUGUUGGUUCUGAGGCUAAAAGAAGCUGAUGCUCCCUGAGGGGAAAAAAAAUGUAGGAAGCAGUAGGGUUACCAGGAGGUACACUGAAAAUGCACUGGGUAACUCUAAUUCUAGUAUUACGUAGCAUUUGAGUGUUUGACUUUAGUAGGAUGCAAUGUCAGCUAUUUGGGGUAAGUUACUUUUUUUUGUUAAAUUUGUAUCCUUCUUGUUGCUUUCCGUUGCCUGAAACAGUUGUAAUUACUGAAUUAGUUUUAAUCACAGACACUGUAUUUAAAAAUGUUUUUACUGAUUUUCUUUGUAUUUUGGUCAAUAAAAGCUGCUCCAUUAAAAAUA